rnacentral:lncRNA from 1 species
AUUCAAGAUCCUUCCGGACAAAAUAUGGAUGAGAACAUUCAAAAAAAUAUCCACUAUCUUCUCUAGAAUCGUUUCUUUCCUAAGUCUUACGAUGACUCAAAAAUGUGAGCCAUAUUUUUAAUUUCUUAAACUAUGGCAACAUUUUGUUGAUGCUAGAACGCUCAAAACAUUUAACAAUUAGCACGAUCUUCUAUCGUUUAUCUAGCAUUUUAGGAACUUCAGUCUGAGUUGCUGGUAGUGACAAUGUGGAAAUGGAUACUAGACCUCAUUUCACAGCUAUUUCAAAGGAUCCACACCUGAAAGUAUAACAACUAGUAGCAAAAUUUAAAAGCCAUUAUUGGCAUUUUAGAUCUCAUUUACAUUCAUCUUACUCGAGUCACUAAAAAAAUAUAUAUUGAUCAUUUUUUUUUUUCCUAUGCAGGGGACGUGCCACAAACUAAUUUUAAGUAAAGAAGGUUUGAUAAUCUAUGACAUAACCAACCCUGUUACAAUUGGGAGACAAAAUAUUUUUUGCAGCCUUUAUAUAGAUUUUGUAGCUUCUGGCCUAUAUGUCACUACAAGAUCGUUUGGAGGACAUUGAAAGGGCUUUUGCUUUGCACAAAUCUUGUAGAUAUUGCAAAUGGUUUGCAGCCUCAAUGUGGAACUGAUAGCUUUGAGUCCUGCACGUAAUUUUAUGCUGAGUUAUUUUGAAAUAAUCUUUUGUUAACAUAAUCUGCAUAUCCAGAAUGCAAACACUGACCGGUUAGCAGCCUCUGCAAACUCCAUUCCAGAUGAUGGGGUAACAUCGUUCGCUACCUCAACCUUAUCCUAAGCUAAUCCCCUAAGCAUAAUCUAUUCCUCCAUAUUAACCCAACAUAAUUAUCAAAACCAACACCUACUAUGAUAACAAUUACCUUUUUUAUUACCUUAAUUAUAAUUAGCCUAAACGGGCUCUCAGGGUUCAACCCAUCUAACUUAGAUCUAAUCAACUUAACCCAUCAAAUGUG